CUACAAAGGAAUUGACGGGACCCCGCCACAAGCGGUGGAUCAUGUUGUUUAAUUCGAUGAUACGCGAAGAACCUUACCAGGUCUUGACAUCCCCCGCGAUGCUUUAGAGAUAAAGCGGAGGUAUUCGGGAGACAGGUGGUGCAUGGUUGUCGUCAGCUCGUGUCGUGAGAUGUUGGGUUAAGUCCCGCAACGAGCGCAACCCCUAUUGCUAGUUACCAUCAUUAAGUUGGGGACUCUAGCGAGACUGCCAGUGAUAAACUGGAGGAAGGUGGGGAUGACGUCAAAUCAUCAUGCCCCUUAUGACCUGGGCUACAAACGUGAUACAAUGGCUGGAACAAAGGGAUGCGAAGCAGUGAUGUGGAGCGAAACCCAUAAAAACAGUCUCAGUUCGGAUUGAAGUCUGCAACUCGACUUCAUGAAGUCGGAAUCGCUAGUAAUCGCGGAUCAGAACGCCGCGGUGAAUACGUUCUCGGGGUUU
rnacentral:rRNA from 1 species